AUUGAACGCUGGCGGCAGGCCUAACACAUGCAAGUCGAGCGAGCGGCGGACGGGUGAGUAAUGUAUGGGGACUGCCCGAUAGAGGGGGAUAACUACUGGAAACGGUGGCUAAUACCGCAUACUAUCGGAUAACCCAUAUGGGAUUAGCUAGUAGGUGGGGUAAAGGCUCACCUAGGCGACGAUCUCUAGCUGGUCUGAGAGGAUGAUUCGCCCAACUGGGACUUGGAAACGGCCCAAGAUCCAAGGGAGGCAGCAGGGGGGAAUAUUGCACAAUGGGCGCCAACCUGAAGCAACCAAUGCGCGGGUAUGGAGGAGGGCUUAGGGUUGUAAAGUACUUUCAGCGGGGAGGCGUUACCCGCAGAAGAAGCACCGGCUAACUCCGUGCCAGCAGCCGCGGUAAUAC
rnacentral:rRNA from 1 species